rnacentral:rRNA from 1 species
UACGUAGGCAGCAAGCGUUGUUCGGAGUUACUGGGCGUAAAGGGUGUGUAGGCGGCUUGGUAAGUCCGGUGUGAAACCUUGGGGCUCAACCCCAAGCCUGCACUGGAUACUGCCUCGCUUGAGUCCGGGAGGGGAGAGCGGAAUUCCUAGUGUAGCGGUGAAAUGCGCAGAUAUUAGGAAGAACACCGGUGGCGAAGGCGGCUCUCUGGAACGGUACUGACGCUGAGACGCGAAAGCGUGGGGAGCGAACAGG